CAGCAGCCGCGGGAAUACGUAGGGUGCAAGCGUUAAUCGGAUUUACUGGGCGUAAAGCGUGCGUAGGCGGCUAAUUGAGUCGGAUGUGAAAUCCCCGAGCUUAACUUGGGAAUUGCAUUCGAUACUGGUUAGCUAGAGUGUGGGAGAGGAUGGUAGAAUUCCAGGUGUAGCGGUGAAAUGCGUAGAGAUCUGGAGGAAUACCGAUGGCGAAGGCAGCCAUCUGGCCUAACACUGACGCUGAGGUACGAAAGCAUGGGGAGCAAACAGGAUUAGAUACCCCGGUAGUCCCUGUCUCUUAUAC
rnacentral:rRNA from 1 species